UACGGAGGGUGCGAGCGUUGUCCGGAAUCAUUGGGCGUAAAGGGCGCGUAGGUGGCCCGGUGAGUCUUUGGUGAAAGCGCGGGGCUCAACCCUGCGUCGGCCAGGGAUACUGCCGCGGCUCGAGCACUGUAGAGGCAGGCGGAAUUCCGGGUGUAGCGGUGGAAUGCGUAGAGAUCCGGAAGAACACCAGUGGCGAAGGCGACUCACUGGACACGUAUUGACGCUGAGGUGCGAAAGCGUGGGGAGCAAACAGG
rnacentral:rRNA from 1 species